rnacentral:misc_RNA from 1 species
GAUGAAGAACGUAGCGAAAUGCGAUAAGUAAUGUGAAUUGCAGAAUUCAGUGAAUCAUCGAAUCUUUGAACGCACAUUGCGCCCGGCAGUACUCUGCCGGGCAUGCCUGUUCGAGCGUCAUUUCAACCCUCAAGCCCUGCUUGGUGUUGGGGUCCCACGGCCGCCGUGGGCCCUGAAAGGAAGUGGCGGGCUCGCUACAACUCCGAGUGUAGUAAUUCAUUAUCUCGCUUAGGGCGUUGGGCGGCGCUCCUGCCGUUAAAGAACCAUCUUUAACUCAAGGUUGACCUCGGAUCAGGUAGGAAUACCCGCUGAACUUAAGCAUAUCAAUAAGCGGAGGA